UACAGAGGUCCCAAGCGUUGUUCGGAUUCAUUGGGCGUAAAGGGUGCGUAGGCGGCGCGGGAAGUCGGGUGUGAAAUCUCGGGGCUUAACUCCGAAACUGUAUUCGAUACUGCCGUGCUUGAGGACUGGAGAGGAGACUGGAAUUUACGGUGUAGCGGUGAAAUGCGUAGAUAUCGUAAGGAAGACCAGUGGCGAAGGCGGCUCACUGGCCCGAUACUGACGCUGAGGCACGAAAGCGUGGGGAGCAAACAGG
rnacentral:rRNA from 1 species